rnacentral:rRNA from 1 species
UACAGGGGGGGCAAGCGUUGUUCGGAAUUACUGGGCGUAAAGGGUCUGUAGGUGGCUUGCUAAGUCAGACGUGAAAUCUCUCAGCUUAACUGGGGAACUGCGUCUGAUACUGGCGAGCUUGAGUGCAGGAGAGGAACGCGGAAUUCCAGGUGUAGCGGUGAAAUGCGUAGAUAUCUGGAGGAACACCGGUGGCGAAGGCGGCGUUCUGGACUGCAACUGACACUGAGAGACGAAAGCCAGGGGGGCAAACGGG